AGACGAUUCCAUAAUUUCAUAAAAUAAUCAUUUGCUGUAGUUGGGAUGUUAAAGACGUCUACUAGACAAACAACUUUCUUUGGUGCCUAGGCCCCAACCCACCACAUCAGUCAUUCCUUGCUUUUCCCCCUCUUUUCUUCUUCUCCCGGUUCUGCACGAAGAGGUAAGUGAGAAUCCGAUGUUUCGAUUUUCAUCCAUGGCAGCCAUUGACAGGACUGAGUUUUGAAGUAACAACAAACUCGGUGAUUCGAUGAACUACUGAUUUUCUUAGCCUGCUUUUGAUUUUUCAAUCUGCAACUCGAAUCACAUCUACAUUUCUCGUCUGUGAAAUUUGAUUCUGAGGAAGAAGGUCUACUUAGAGAGGUAGACUGUUGAGUGGAGAAUUUGUAAGCAUCAGUUCAGUGAUUUAGUAAAAAGAAAAGGUUUCUAUUUUCUUUCCAAUCGCACUAGUUUCUUCAUCUUCUGUUGUUAGGGCAAGUAAUGGAAGUUGGCAUCUGUUUGGAUCGUAUUCAUACAUUCAAAUAGUUUUUCCCUAUAAUGGUCAGGGUCGACGCUCAAAAGAGGAUGAGAUAAGAGCUUACUACAUCUACUGAAUUAUCAUCCUCGGGCAUCUAUGAAAACUACUGCUUUGUAGCUGAGUGAGUUUUUACUCCAUUCUCAACUCCACUGGAAGGUCUAGCAUUCAAAUCUUAAACUAGGCCUCUUCAACUAAU